rnacentral:lncRNA from 3 species
AUCUGGGAACGGGCGGCCAAGGGAGCGGCGUCGGCGUCCUCCAGCGGCAGGCAGCGGGAGAACGUGACGGGUGGAAAGGAGUCGCCGCCGCAGCCGCCGGAGGUCGGAGCCGAGGAGAGGUGGGCGGACAACAACGAGCGACGCCUCGAGGCCCCACACGGUGGCCGGGGAGAAAGAGGAUUGUGGAGGCUGAUGUCCAAGAGAGAGGGCUGCCUGCCUUCUGGAUCCGAAGGCCCAUCUUCUCCCCAGCCGAUGACGCCAUGCCGGCCUCCUCAUUUGAUUGAGGCAUCCUCAUCAUCAGCCAAAGUAGCUUGCACAAGGCAGCGAAGUUCAGAUGUGUGGGAUACUGUAGUUGAGGCACGGGUUGAUGGCAUGUUGAUGAGCCAAUCCUGCUGCUCCAAUUGA